rnacentral:rRNA from 1 species
UAACACGUGAGUGACCUGCCUUUUAGACUGGAACAACUUACCGAAAGGUGAGCUAAUGCCGGAUGAGUUAUAUAAGUGCAUGUUUAUAUAGGAAAAGUUGGGGAGACCUGACGCUGAAAGAUGGACUCGCGUCCCAUUAGCUAGUUGGUAGGGUAAUGGCCUACCAAGGCGACGAUGGGUAGCCGGCCUGAGAGGGUGGCCGGCCACACUGGGACUGAGACACGGCCCAGACUCCUACGGGAGGCAGCAGUGGGGAAUUUUGCGCAAUGCUCGUAAGAGUGACGCAGCGACGCCGCGUGAAUGACGAAGGCCUUCGGGUCGUAAAGUUCUUUCGACAGGGAAGAAAAUGCCUAUAAGUAACUGUGUAUGUAUUGACGGUACCUGUAUAAGCAGCCCCGGCUAACUCCGUGCCAGCAGCCGCGGUAAUACGGAGGGGGCGAGCGUUGUUCGGAGUGACUGGGCGUAAAGAGCACGUAGGCGGUGUUGUAAGUCAUUAGUCAAAGACUAGAGCUCAACUUUAGUAAGGCUAGUGAUACUAUAAUACUAGAGUAUCAGAGAGGAUUGCAGAAUUCCUGGUGUAGCGGUGAAAUGCGUAGAUAUCAGGAGGAAUACCGUUAGCGAAGGCGGCAAUCUGGCUGGAAACUGACGCUGAGGUGCGAAAGCGUGGGUAGCAAACAGGAUUAGAUACCCUGGUAGUCCACGCUGUAAACGAUGGAUGCUAGGUGU